GUGCUCUCUUCAGCAGCACAUAUAUAAAAAUUGGAAUGAUACAGAAGAGAUUAACAUAGCCCCUGAGCAAGGAUAACACCCAAAUUCAUGAAGUGUUCCAUAUUUUU